ACGAACGCUUGCGGCGUGCUUAACCCAUGCCAGUCGAACGGAAAGGCCCUGCUUUUGUGGGGUGCUCGAGUGGCGAACGGGUGAGUAACACGUGAGUAACCUGCCCUUGACUUUGGGAUAACUUCAGGAAACUGGGGCUAAUACCGGAUAGGAGCUCCUGCUGCCUGGUGGGGGUUGGAAAGUUUCGGCGGUUGGGGAUGGACUCGCGGCUUAUCAGCUUGUUGGUGGGGUAGUGGCUUACCAAGGCUUUGACGGGUAGCCGGCCUGAGAGGGUGACCGGCCACAUUGGGACUGAGAUACGGCCCAGACUCCUACGGGAGGCAGCAGUGGGGAAUAUUGCACAAUGGGCGGAAGCCUGAUGCAGCAACGCCGCGUGCGGGAUGACGGCCUUCGGGUUGUAAACCGCUUUCGCCUGUGACGAAGCGUGAGUGACGGUAAUGGGUAAAGAAGCACCGGCUAACUACGUG
rnacentral:rRNA from 1 species